GCACCCGUCAAAUUGGCUGUGAAAUGUAAUUUUUAUUUUAAUCAUAUCACAGCCAUUUUUGACGAGUCCUG
rfam:Rhodnius prolixus Rhodnius_prolixus-3.0.3-414.12, whole genome shotgun sequence.